GACGAACGCUGGCGGCGUGCUUAACACAUGCAAGUCGAACGAGAUCCAAUGUGUAGCAAUACACAGGAAGAUCUAGUGGCGAACGGGUGAGGAACACGUGAGAAACGUACCCCAGACUUUGGGAUAACAGUCCGAAAGGACUGCUAAUACCAAAUAACGUCGGAAGUCCGCAUGGACAUCUGACGAAAGGGAUUCCGGUUUGGGAGCGUCUCGCGGACCUAUCAGCUAGUUGGAGGGGUAACGGCCCACCAAGGCAACGACGGGUAGCUGGUCUGAGAGGAUGGUCAGCCACACUGGGACUGAGACACGGCCCAGACUCCUACGGGAGGCAGCAGUGGGGAAUCUUGCGCAAUGGGCGAAAGCCUGACGCAGCAACGCCGCGUGCGGGAAGAAGGCUUUCGGGCUGUAAACCGCUUUCAGUAGGAACGAAACUGGCGGUACCUACAGAAGAAGGAGCGGCCAACUAUGUG
rnacentral:rRNA from 1 species